rnacentral:rRNA from 1 species
UUUGGCGGCUGUAGCGCGGUGGUCCCACCUGACCCCAUGCCGAACUCAGAAGUGAAACGCCGUAGCGCCGAUGGUAGUGUGGGGUCUCCCCAUGCGAGAGUAGGGAACUGCCAGAC